CCUACGGGGGGCAGCAGUGGGGAAUAUUGGACAAUGGGGGGAACCCUGAUCCAGCCAUGCCGCGUGUGUGAAGAAGGCCCUCGGGUUGUAAAGCACUUUCAGUGAGGAAGAACGCCUGGUGGUUAAUACCCAUCAGGAAAGACAUCACUCACAGAAGAAGCACCGGCUAACUCCGUGCCAGCAGCCGCGGUAAUACGGAGGGUGCGAGCGUUAAUCGGAAUUACUGGGCGUAAAGCGCGCGUAGGUGGCUUGAUAAGCCGGUUGUGAAAGCCCCGGGCUCAACCUGGGAACGGCAUCCGGAACUGUCAAGCUAGAGUGCAGGAGAGGAAGGUAGAAUUCCCGGUGUAGCGGUGAAAGGCGUAGAGAUCGGGAGGAAUACCAGUGGCGAAGGCGGCCUUCUGGACUGACACUGACACUGAGGUGCGAAAGCGUGGGUAGCAAACAGGAUUAGAUACCCCAGUAGUC
rnacentral:rRNA from 1 species